AUUGAACGCUGGCGGCAGGCUUAACACAUGCAAGUCGAGCGAGCGGCGGACGGGUGAGUAAUGUCUGGGAAACUGCCUGAUGGAGGGGGAUAACUACUGGAAACGGUAGCUAAUACCGCAUACUAUCGGAUGAACCCAUAUGGGAUUAGCUUGUAGGUGGGGUAAAGGCUCACCUAGGCGACGAUCUCUAGCUGGUCUGAGAGGAUGAUCAGCCACACUGGGACUGAGACACGGCCCAGACUCCUACGGGAGGCAGCAGUGGGGAAUAUUGCACAAUGGGCGCAAGCCGGAUGCAGCCAUGCCGCGUGUAUGAAGAAGGCUUUAGGGGUGUAAAGUACUUUCAGCGGGGAGGCGUUACCCGCAGAAGAAGCACCGGCUAACUCCGUGCCAGCAGCCGCGGUAAUAC
rnacentral:rRNA from 1 species